UACGGAGGGUGCAAGCGUUGUUCGGAAUUACUGGGCGUAAAGCGCGUGUAGGCGGCCUUGCAAGUCAGACGUGAAAGCCCUCGGCUUAACCGGGGAAGUGCGUCUGAAACUGCUUGGCUUGAGUACGGGAGAGGGAGGCGGAAUUCCCAGUGUAGAGGUGAAAUUCGUAGAUAUUGGGAGGAACACCGGUGGCGAAAGCGGCCUCCUGGACCGAUACUGACGCUGAGACGCGAGAGCGUGGGGAG
rnacentral:rRNA from 1 species